AAGAAGUGGGUUCAGAGGAGCAACACACAUGCAGCCAGUCUCCAUCACAUUAUUGUAGAUCUGACAUACCGCCAAGAAGGAUAACAGCAUUAUGUACUCUGAACGACUAUGGCGGAGAAGAUGACACAUAUGCUAUUCUCCCGUUCUGUACAAACGUUUUUUCAAACACACCGAGAACCGUAUUCCCCCGGGAACCUCCACCCGCUCGCUCCAUAUUCCAGACCCAAACAAUCAAUGCAGAACUCGUACUUGCGCAGAAUCACCCCCUCCCGAAAAGUGCUACCUGGCAGGGAAUUUACUGCUUCAAGAAAUGGCGCUACAUGUACACGACUCCAACGAGACAGGUCCGGCAGAAUCUGGAAUACCUGGUGAAAAAAGUCAAGAGUCCCCGGUUUCCGCGAUUUGUCAGAACAGCCCUCGUCAAAAAAUCUGAGACUUCUCCCCGGCAUAUAACAGCACAGAACCCCAUACACACCUAGAGCACACGACCGGACAUUCACAAUAAAACACCGAAACCGGAGGAUUUCACUGUUUUAAAUGACAUUUCAGAGGUAGACAACCUGCUAUUACGGGAGGCGGCCAACCUUCUUGAUUCAGCCAAUCCAAUUCUUUGGUGGAAACACCCAAACCUGAAAUAGAACAAGCUAGUUUUGCACAGCCUUUUCCAGGGCUCUAAAAUCCCAAAAGGUUUUGCUCCCCAAACGAAUGGGGGCUUUACUCGAGCAACAAUACCGUCAGGAUCUAUCCUUCUGGCAUAGAACAAUGCCACGUUUGUUAAACAGCAAUCCGAUUAAAAAACGCAAAUACAGGUUCUAAAAACAUAUAUGUAACAUGUAUCCUUCCAGAAUACCACAAGAAAACACAUCAUUAAUUAUCCAAAUGGCUGAGCCAACAGACAUAAUUGAGACAGUUGAAACCCUGUUAUCCCAGAUAUCGGCCGAACUCCAAGCUAUAAUUAACCAUAUGAAUGAGGCUGGGGCAACAGACAUAAUACCGAUAGAUGAAAACAUAUUAUCCCAGAUUCCCGCCGAACUCAUAGAAUAAUUAAUCGUAUGAAUGAGUCAGGGACGACCGAUAAAAAACUGUUAUCCCAGAUCCCUGAAGCCCUCAUAUCAAUAAUUAACCAGAUGAAUGAGUCAGGGACGACCGAUGAAAAACUGUUAUCCCAGAUUCCUGAAGCCCUCAUAUCAAUAAUUAACCAGAUGAAUGAGUCAGGGACGACCGAUGAAAAACUGUUAUCCCAGAUUCCUGAAGCCCUCAUAUCAAUAAUUAACCAGAUGAAUGAGUCAGGGACGACCGAUGAAAAACUGUUAUCCCAGAUUCCUGAAGCCCUCAUAUCAAUAAUUAACCAGAUGAAUGAGUCAGGGACGACCGAUGAAAAACUGUUAUCCCAGAUUCCUGAAGCCCUCAUAUCAAUAAUUAACCAGAUGAAUGAGUCAGGGACGACCGAUGAAAAACUGUUAUCCCAGAUUCCUGAAGCCCUCAUAUCAAUAAUUAACCAGAUGAAUGAGUCAGGGACGACCGAUGAAAAACUGUUAUCCCAGAUUCCUGAAGCCCUCAUAUCAAUAAUUAACCAGAUGAAUGAGAGCAUAAGAUCUUCUACAUCGGACCCCCCACAAACCCCGCCAUUAACGCCCAUGUCCGAAGAGUCUGAAACGCAAUACGAUGGUUUUGAGGAAUUGUAAAAUUGUCUAAUUAAUGAGGCGGGGGAGAUGGUAUUGAUAGAAGUGUUUGGGUUGUGUACCGAAUUAAAUUCUGCAAUACAGAGAUUCGACAAUUUUUCAAUUUCACAUGGGUGAAUCAGAAUCUUGAUUAUGCAAUGUUUUAUGUGAUGAUCCUGGAUACUCUGAACGAACUGUUAGACAGGGCAAGAGAUUAUGGUGAACCUCGUGAUGUCUUACAGUAGGACAUUUGUGGAGAUAGCCUGCAUAACACUGUAUCUCUUAUUUUACCCAAUGGCGAAGCAGAUCUUGAACAAUUUAUAGCCCUGCUGGAACGACUUGUUCAAUCUAAUUUAUCCAUCAUAGCUGAUAGGACCCUCGAGCUUGUAGUGCAAAUAAUACAUCAACCCCUGGGUGGCGUGGGUCAGAGAAGGAAACUAGAUAGCCUAAUACAAUCAGAAAUCAUAAGCAAUAAAAAGGGCAUAUCUCAUAAACGUUCACAAUCCUGGUAAUAAGCUAUGCUUUGCAAUAAGCUUAGCACAUUUACUCAACCCUGGGUGUACUGAUCUAGCGGUGUUACACAAGGCUAGAGAGCUCCAAACGGCCGUGGGUCUAGGUAUACAGGAUGCGGGGGCUUUCUUGGACAUAGUCCAAUUUGAAAACUUUCUGAACAUCAAGAUUGUGUUUCGUACCACAGUAGAGCUAAUGCAGCUCUCUUCAAAUUCCAAAACAACCCACAACCUCAUCCUCAGAUUCUGUACUUUUAUGUGCAAAACACCCGCUAUUAUGCUAUUACUAACAUCACAGCGUUUUUAGGCGCACCAUAUGUGUGUCCAUCCUGCCAUACCAGCUACACCCGAAAGGGGGGGCACUCGUGUUAUAACUGUUCAGUAGGUCUGGACAACCGCACAUGUCGUUCGGCCUACUGUUACGAAAAACACUAAAUUGAAACAUGACACCCCAAGGCCUGUAAAUCUGUAAGCAGUUGUGACAUUAAAGGUGAGAUACCUCUUUAAAACCAUUUAUUUAAUUCAUAAUAUUUAGUACAGACCUUUUUAAAACAUCUUAUAAUUAAUCCAAAACAAUUUUACUAUUCAUUUAUUACAGAUAAAGGGCUGGUUAUCCCUGACCUCCAUCUGUCUCCAAUUAACCCGCGUCAAGACAGGCUCUCUUGCUUGCAGGAUAUCCCACACACGCUCCGUCAAGGCUCCGUAAGUUUUCACUCCAGGGAUAGAUCAAACGUCUGGCAUGGAGAUCCUGGGUAUGUCUAAAGGAUAGACGCGGCCAGCGCCCUAAUUGUUCUCGAUUUUGGAAAAGACUGUCCAGCUUAUUUAUCAGGGUUAUGAAUAUAGGGUAAUCAAUCCAUUUAAAGCUAAAUACGGGCAUAAAAAGUUUACAUCCUUGCAGGCUUUGGAAAAUACAUGUGAACUGACAGACUUUGCCGCAUUUGUACUACCAAAUUGUUCACAUGCUAAAAUUGUCACUUUGGAGCCGGGGCUAUACGCCAUUGAAGCGAUUCUUAGGGCCUUCAAAUCACUGCGCACGCACACAAGUUCUUCCAUUGCAUAUCCUGGCAGAGUUGUACCACUUAGGGCCUGUUCAAUUUGACAGAGCGCUAGCCUUAUCUUAAGCCAUUUUCUCAUGCAGGAGAAAAACUCCCGGGUUUUGCAUGAUAAAGGGGUUUGGGGCCGCUGUCUGUGGAUAUCUUAACAGUAGAAUCCUCAGGUUGGAAUAGGUUGGAAUCCUCAUAGGGUCAUAAAUCAGACGUUUGACCCGCGCCGUCUACUUUAUUCUCUCUCAUGUCUCAAUGAUCUCUGAGUUGGUCUGGAAACCAAACACCUUCAUAGGGACAUCAAAGACCUCAUCUGGGGUAAGAUACGGUACAUUCCAUCCUUAGUGGUCAGUGGACUCUGUGAUUAGGUGAAAUUCAUCACCCGUCCCAUGUAAAUCACCUCCAAUACCCGUUUGUCCAGCUUUGUGCGACACUCAUGAAGCCCACUGUUGGAGCGGCCAAGGGGUGAGGACCUGUCACGCCUUGAUCUAUUGCAUCUGUAUUGUGCUUGUCUCCACCCCCCAAUGGGUGUCUCCCAUUUGUCCCCAUUAUCCCCUGUGUAUUUAUACCAGUGUUAACUGUUUGUCUGUUGCCAGUUCGUCUUGUCCCAUCAAGUCCUACCAGUGUGUUUUCCCGUUUUCGAGUCUGUCUAGUUACUGUUUUCUAGUCUUCCCGGUUCUGACCAUUCCGCCUGCCCUGAGCCUGCCUGCCGUUCUGUACCUCAUUGACUCUGCCCUGGACUACUGACCAUUCCGCCUGCCCUGAGCCUGCCUGCCGUUCUGUACCUCAUUGACUCUGCCCUGGACUACUGACCAUUCCGCCUGCCCUGAGCCUGCCUGCCGUUCUGUACCUCAUUGACUCUGCCCUGGACUACUGACCAUUCCGCCUGCCCUGAGCCUGCCUGCCGUUCUGUACCUCAUUGACUCUGCCCUGGACUACUGGCCAUUCUGCCUGCAAUGAGCCUGCCUGCUGUUGUGUGCCUCUUUGACUCUGCCCUGGAUUAAUGACCUGCCUGACCUCGACCUGCCCUGGCCUGUCCCCUUGUAUAAUACAUAUUAUGAGAACUGUACUAUCCACCUCCUGUGGCUGCAACUGGGUCAUAUCCUGAGUUGUGAUAGGGCCACACACUUUGAGAAGCAUAGGAAGAGUGACAAUGAACAGAUCCAUGGCGUUAACAGGCUGUCUCAGCCUCCAGUAUUUAUGCUGCAGUUGUUUAUGUGUCGGGGGGCUAGGGUCAGUUUGUUAUAUCUGGAGUACUUCUCCUGUCCUAUUCAGUGUCCUGUGUGUGUUCUCUUAAUUCUCUCCUUCUUUCUUUCUUUCUCUCUCUCCGAGGACCUGAGCCCUAGGACCAUGCCCCAGGACUACCUGACAUGAUGACUCCUUGCUGUCCCCAGUCCACCUGACCGUGCUGCUGCUCCAGUUUCAACUGUUCUGCCUUAUUAUUAUUCGACCAUGCUGGUCAUUUAUGAACAUUUGAACAUCUUGGCCAUGUUCUGUUAUAAUCUCCACCCGGCACAGCCAGAAGAGGACUGGCCACCCCACAUAGCCUGGUUCCUCUCUAGGUUUCUUCCUAGGUUUCGGCCUUUCUAGGGAGUUUUUCCUAGCCACCGUGCUUCUACACCUGCAUUGCUUGCUGUUUGGGGUUUUAGGCUGGGUUUCUGUACAGCACUUUGAGAUAUCAGCUGAUGUACGAAGGGCUAUAUAAAUACAUUUGAUUUGAUUUGAUAAGUGCUAUGAGCCAGCGUAAGACAAUUUAUAUCAAACUCAGUCUGGGCAUUUGAUGAUAACAUCUCUGGCAUUUAAAUAAAGAUGAUUGUUUG